GAUGAACGCUGGCGGCGUGCCUAAUACAUGCAAGUAGAACGCUGAAGGAAGGAGCUUGCUCUUUCCGGAUGAGUUGCGAACGGGUGAGUAACGCGUAGGUAACCUGCCUGGUAGCGGGGGAUAACUAUUGGAAACGAUAGCUAAUACCGCAUAACAGUAGAUGUUGCAUGAUAUCUACUUAAAAGGUGCAAUUGCACCACUACCAGGUGGACCUGCGUUGUAUUAGCUAGUUGGUGAGGUAACGGCUCACCCAGGCGACGAUACAUAGCCGACCUGCGAGGGUGAGCCGCCACACUGGGACGGAGACACGGCACAGACUCCUAAGGGGGGCAGCAGUAGGGAGGCUUCGGCAAGGGGCGGAAGGCGGACCGAGCAACGCCGCGUGAGUGAAGAACGUUGUCGGGUCGUAAAGCUCGGUUGUAAGAGAAGAACGAGUGUGAGAGUGGAAAGUUCACGCUGUGACGGUAUCUUAACAGAAAGCGACGGCUAACUACGUG
rnacentral:rRNA from 1 species